rnacentral:rRNA from 1 species
AGCGGUGGAGUAUGUGGCUUAAUUCGAUGCAACGCGAAGAACCUUACCAAGGCUUGACAUGGAUUUCUAAGCACGUGAAAGCGUGUGACCCUUCGGGGAACUUCCACAGGUGCUGCAUGGCCGUCGUCAGCUCGUGUCGUGAGAUGUUGGGUUAAGUCCCGCAACGAGCGCAACCCUUGUGACUAGUUGCCAGCACGUAAUGGUGGGAACUCUGGUCAGACUGCCCAGAUCAACUGGGAGGAAGGUGGGGACGACGUCAGGUCAGUAUGG